CGCGACCCCAGGUCAGGCGGGG
rnacentral:rRNA from 25 species